rnacentral:misc_RNA from 1 species
GUUCGACAAAAAUUUUCAGAUCGAACUGAGAAAAUCAAACCGUAGAAUCGAACAAUGAGUCGAGGAAGUGGAGGCGGAUACGAUCGUCACAUUACGAUCUUCUCACCGGAAGGUCGUCUCUUUCAAGUCGAAUAUGCUUUUAAGGCUGUGAAGGCAGCUGGAAUCACAUCUAUUGGUGUCCGUGGAAAGGACUCUGUUUGUGUUGUUACUCAGAAGAAAGUCCCUGACAAGCUAUUGGAUCAGACCAGUGUAUCCCAUUUGUUCCCAAUUACCAAGUAUCUUGGACUAUUGGCUACUGGCAUGACAGCUGAUGCAAGAACUUUGGUUCAACAAGCUCGAAAUGAAGCUGCUGAGUUUCGCUUUAAAUAUGGUUAUGAAAUGCCAGCAGAUGUACUGUCUAAAUGGAUCGCGGACAAGUCCCAGGUUUACACACAGCAUGCCUAUAUGAGACCCCUUGGAGUAGUUGCUAUGAUUUUGGGCAUUGAUGAGGAGAAAGGGCCCCAGCUCUUCAAAUGUGACCCUGCUGGUCAUUUUUUUGGUCAUAAGGCUACAAGUGCCGGAUCUAAAGAGCAAGAGGCAAUUAACUUUUUGGAGAAGAAAAUGAAAAAUAACCCUGCGUUCUCCUAUGAGGAAACUGUUCAGACCACUAUUUCUGCUCUUCAAUCUGUUCUGCAAGAAGAUUUCAAGGCCAGUGAAAUUGAGGUUGGUGUUGUGAGAAAAGAAGAUCCCGUCUUUAGAGUGUUAACUACUGAGGAAAUCGACGAGCACUUAACAGCCAUCAGUGAGCGUGACUGAUUAGCCACAUGAUACACAGUCCGUUUUCUGUUAGAAAUGUAUGUUUUGCUAUCAAGACUUGCAAAAGAGAUCCCAUUUGAUUGUUAGUUGCUAUCAAUCCUUCUGCAUAUGCUGAUAAAUGAGUUUCUAUUUGUCGAAUGUAACAUUUCAUGGGAUCUUCUUAGUUUCAACAAAACGUUUGAAUCCUUCUAUCAUUAUCUAUCUACGAUCUUUUGUACUUUGAUUAUCAUACUAUUUUAUCAUUGUUUU